rnacentral:piRNA from 1 species
UCAAAGGUCGAAUGUCCUGAUGCUGGUAACC